rnacentral:tRNA from 1 species
AAUGAAUUGCCUGAUAAAAGGGUUACCUUGAUAGGGUAAAUUAUAUAAUUUAUAGUUUUAUAUUCAUUA